rnacentral:rRNA from 1 species
AUACGGAGGGUGCAAGCGUUGUUCGGAAUUACUGGGCGUAAAGCGCGCGUAGGUGGUCUGCUAUGUCAGAUGUGAAAGUCCACGGCUCAACCGUGGAAGUGCAUUUGAAACUGGCAGACUUGAGUACUGGAGGGGGUAGUGGAAUUCCCGGUGUAGAGGUGAAAUUCGUAGAUAUCGGGAGGAAUACCGGUGGCGAAGGCGACUACCUGGCCAGAUACUGACACUGAGGUGCGAAAGCGUGGGGAGCGAACAGGAUUAGAUACCCUAGUAGUCC